GGGUUGUGAGGUUAAGCGACUAAGCGUACACGGUGGAUGCCCUGGCAGUCAGAGGCGAUGAAGGACGUGCUAAUCUGCGAUAAGCGUCGGUAAGGUGAUAUGAACCGUUAUAACCGGCGAUUUCCGAAUGGGGAAACCCAGUGUGAUUCGUCACACUAUCAUUAACUGAAUCCAUAGGUUAAUGAGGCGAACCGGGGGAACUGAAACAUCUAAGUACCCCGAGGAAAAGAAAUCAACCGAGAUUCCCCCAGUAGCGGCGAGCGAACGGGGAGCAGCCCAGAGCCUGAAUCAGUGUGUGUGUUAGUGGAAGCGUCUGGAAAGGCGCGCGAUACAGGGUGACAGCCCCGUACACAAAAAUGCACAUGCUGUGAGCUCGAUGAGUAGGGCGGGACACGUGGUAUCCUGUCUGAAUAUGGGGGGACCAUCCUCCAAGGCUAAAUACUCCUGACUGACCGAUAGUGAACCAGUACCGUGAGGGAAAGGCGAAAAGAACCCCGGCGAGGGGAGUGAAAAAGAACCUGAAACCGUGUACGUACAAGCAGUGGGAGCACGCUUAGGCGUGUGACUGCGUACCUUUUGUAUAAUGGGUCAGCGACUUAUAUUCUGUAGCAAGGUUAACCGAAUAGGGGAGCCGAAGGGAAACCGAGUCUUAACUGGGCGUUAAGUUGCAGGGUAUAGACCCGAAACCCGGUGAUCUAGCCAUGGGCAGGUUGAAGGUUGGGUAACACUAACUGGAGGACCGAACCGACUAAUGUUGAAAAAUUAGCGGAUGACUUGUGGCUGGGGGUGAAAGGCCAAUCAAACCGGGAGAUAGCUGGUUCUCCCCGAAAGCUAUUUAGGUAGCGCCUCGUGAAUUCAUCUCCGGGGGUAGAGCACUGUUUCGGCAAGGGGGUCAUCCCGACUUACCAACCCGAUGCAAACUGCGAAUACCGGAGAAUGUUAUCACGGGAGACACACGGCGGGUGCUAACGUCCGUCGUGAAGAGGGAAACAACCCAGACCGCCAGCUAAGGUCCCAAAGUCAUGGUUAAGUGGGAAACGAUGUGGGAAGGCCCAGACAGCCAGGAUGUUGGCUUAGAAGCAGCCAUCAUUUAAAGAAAGCGUAAUAGCUCACUGGUCGAGUCGGCCUGCGCGGAAGAUGUAACGGGGCUAAACCAUGCACCGAAGCUGCGGCAGCGACGCUUAUGCGUUGUUGGGUAGGGGAGCGUUCUGUAAGCCUGCGAAGGUGUGCUGUGAGGCAUGCUGGAGGUAUCAGAAGUGCGAAUGCUGACAUAAGUAACGAUAAAGCGGGUGAAAAGCCCGCUCGCCGGAAGACCAAGGGUUCCUGUCCAACGUUAAUCGGGGCAGGGUGAGUCGACCCCUAAGGCGAGGCCGAAAGGCGUAGUCGAUGGGAAACAGGUUAAUAUUCCUGUACUUGGUGUUACUGCGAAGGGGGGACGGAGAAGGCUAUGUUGGCCGGGCGACGGUUGUCCCGGUUUAAGCGUGUAGGCUGGUUUUCCAGGCAAAUCCGGAAAAUCAAGGCUGAGGCGUGAUGACGAGGCACUACGGUGCUGAAGCAACAAAUGCCCUGCUUCCAGGAAAAGCCUCUAAGCAUCAGGUAACAUCAAAUCGUACCCCAAACCGACACAGGUGGUCAGGUAGAGAAUACCAAGGCGCUUGAGAGAACUCGGGUGAAGGAACUAGGCAAAAUGGUGCCGUAACUUCGGGAGAAGGCACGCUGAUAUGUAGGUGAAGUCCCUCGCGGAUGGAGCUGAAAUCAGUCGAAGAUACCAGCUGGCUGCAACUGUUUAUUAAAAACACAGCACUGUGCAAACACGAAAGUGGACGUAUACGGUGUGACGCCUGCCCGGUGCCGGAAGGUUAAUUGAUGGGGUCAGCGCAAGCGAAGCUCUUGAUCGAAGCCCCGGUAAACGGCGGCCGUAACUAUAACGGUCCUAAGGUAGCGAAAUUCCUUGUCGGGUAAGUUCCGACCUGCACGAAUGGCGUAAUGAUGGCCAGGCUGUCUCCACCCGAGACUCAGUGAAAUUGAACUCGCUGUGAAGAUGCAGUGUACCCGCGGCAAGACGGAAAGACCCCGUGAACCUUUACUAUAGCUUGACACUGAACAUUGAGCCUUGAUGUGUAGGAUAGGUGGGAGGCUUUGAAGUGUGGACGCCAGUCUGCAUGGAGCCGACCUUGAAAUACCACCCUUUAAUGUUUGAUGUUCUAACGUUGACCCGUGAUCCGGGUUGCGGACAGUGUCUGGUGGGUAGUUUGACUGGGGCGGUCUCCUCCUAAAGAGUAACGGAGGAGCACGAAGGUUGGCUAAUCCUGGUCGGACAUCAGGAGGUUAGUGCAAUGGCAUAAGCCAGCUUGACUGCGAGCGUGACGGCGCGAGCAGGUGCGAAAGCAGGUCAUAGUGAUCCGGUGGUUCUGAAUGGAAGGGCCAUCGCUCAACGGAUAAAAGGUACUCCGGGGAUAACAGGCUGAUACCGCCCAAGAGUUCAUAUCGACGGCGGUGUUUGGCACCUCGAUGUCGGCUCAUCACAUCCUGGGGCUGAAGUAGGUCCCAAGGGUAUGGCUGUUCGCCAUUUAAAGUGGUACGCGAGCUGGGUUUAGAACGUCGUGAGACAGUUCGGUCCCUAUCUGCCGUGGGCGCUGGAGAACUGAGGGGGGCUGCUCCUAGUACGAGAGGACCGGAGUGGACGCAUCACUGGUGUUCGGGUUGUCAUGCCAAUGGCACUGCCCGGUAGCUAAAUGCGGAAGAGAUAAGUGCUGAAAGCAUCUAAGCACGAAACUUGCCCCGAGAUGAGUUCUCCCUGACUCCUUGAGAGUCCUGAAGGAACGUUGAAGACGACGACGUUGAUAGGCCGGGUGUGUAAGCGCAGCGAUGCGUUGAGCUAACCGGUACUAAUGAACCGUGAGGCUUAACCUUACAACGCCGAAGCUGUU
rnacentral:rRNA from 1 species